rnacentral:lncRNA from 1 species
AUCAAGGCAUUUUGUUUUAUUUUGAGCAUAACCACUUGACCAAAAUCAACCUACCUUGUGAGUGAACGAGAAUUUGUUAACCCUUUUCAGCCUUAGUAUCUGAAUCAAUAUCAAUUUUGAACUGUGAGAUUUUUCCUUUGAACGCAAAGAGUAGUUCAUCAUUGAUUUUUUGAUUGGAUUCUGAAUUUUUUCUUGAACCUUCCAAUAUGAACUGUGGUUUGUAUUUUUACCCUUGCCUUAGAAAGUUUGGGAGCAUUCACAUUGCAAGGUUUGGUUGUAUUCAAGUUGGGGAGAAAAAUGUUGGUUGCUAAGAGGUUGAGAAAGAAAAAUUAAAAAAAAUUAAAAAAAAGAAAGAAAAGAAAAGUGAAAAAGAAAAGAAAAAAAGAAAAAGCAUUGGAAAAAAUAGCAAAAAGGUUGUGUGCUAAUAACUUGUGUGAAAAGGUGUAAUAUUUG